GCCGACGUAGCUCAGUUGGAAGAGCAGCUGAUUCGUAAUCAGCAGGUCGGGGGUUCAAAUCCUCUCGUCGGCU
rnacentral:tRNA from 1 species